CCUGCCACUAUAGGUGAGUUGCAGGUGUGGCUGCUGUGUCACAUGUAUGUCACUAGGUGGUAGAGAGGACAAAGCUUGUAUU
ensembl:snoRNA LOC120101348 small nucleolar RNA SNORA17